rnacentral:snRNA from 1 species
GUACUCGCCUCGGCAGUACAUAUACUGAAGAGAAGAUUAGCAUGAUCCCUGCUCAAGGAUAACACGCAAAAUCGUGAAGCAUCUCUUU